GCGCAUCAACAGUGCACUGCAGGUUGAGGA
rnacentral:piRNA from 1 species